UCUGAUUCCACCUCAUUCCCGGAUUGAUCAAAAGCCUCUGACGAAACUAAUCACCCUACCGCCACCAAGCCAAGUCAAGUAUGUGCGGUACGCCUUCCAAAUCCCGUCCAAGUAACUGAACAGUUGCGAGCAGAGCAGAGUUAGUUUAACCCCGUAAGGACCAAACUUCUAGAAUAAAAGGGAAUCAUGACAUGUCACACAGAAGGCUUAACAGAAGACAACUCACCAUCGGAACCUCUUGCCGCUGAAGGCCAGGAUGCCGUAUCCAACCGGACGUCGCACAAGACCAGGCGAAUGGCGCCUACAACUGUAGAUCCACAUCAUGAGGUCUCACCCAGACAGUGGGCGACCAUCUUGGUGACCUGGAACGAGAAAACACUCUGGGUAGGCCGUCCGACUGAGUCCUGGCUGCCCUACUCUCUUGCUGUGGCUGGCCUCCUGACCCUUACAGCCAUGACUGUGCCCCACCAUCC